GGCCCCUUGGUCAAGUGGUUUAAGACACCGCCCUUUCACGGCGAGAACAUGGGUUCGAAUCCCGUAGGGGUCACCA
rnacentral:tRNA from 7 species